rnacentral:misc_RNA from 1 species
AAGUCGUAACAAGGUUUCCGUAGGUGAACCUGCGGAAGGAUCAUUAUGAAUUUUGAAUUUGCGUGUGUGUGGUCUUGUUUCAUUCAUUUGAACGGCCCUCCGCAAUUCUUUUUUCUGUGAACUGCGCAUUCUCAGUAGUUAUGCUUAUCAAAUUCUUUUUGAUAAGUGUGUAUUGAGUUUGUUCUUUUUUGUUUUCUUGUAUUAUUCCACUAUAUUUUUUUUUCCCCGAGUAAUUCUUGCAAAAGAAUGAAAGAGAAAAAAAAAACAUAAAAACCAAGACAACUUUCAGCAAUGGAUCUCUUGGCUCUU